rnacentral:rRNA from 1 species
UACAGAGGGGGGCAAGCGUUGUUCGGAAUUACUGGGCGUAAAGGGCGCGUAGGCGGCCUGCUAAGUCGAACGUGAAAUCCCUGGGCUCAACCCAGGAACUGCGUCCGAUACUGGUUGGCUUGAAUCCGGGAGAGGGAUGUGGAAUUCCAGGUGUAGCGGUGAAAUGCGUAGAUAUCAGGAGGAACACCGAUGGCGAAGGCAGGUCUCUGGGCAUUAACUGACGCUGAGGAGCGAAAGCAUGGGGAGCGAACAGG